GGCAUUUAAUCAGCAGCCUGCUCCCUGCCUGUUUGCUAGCAGGCUGCUGCAGCCUCCCAGCUUUCACUGGGAGCACUUGCCGUGCCUGAGUGCAGGAGACCUCCUGAGAUGGUUGCAACAGCCUUACAGUGAAUUGAAUGUCAGGCGCCUUCCCUUUUCUACCAUCUUGCCUGCACGACCAUCAGUGGUGACUACCCAGACUCGAGAUCAUGAGCUUUUUCUGGCCUGGACAGCUCAUUCUGCGCUCCAACUCCAUUGCAGGUCCUACAGAUGCAAUCAACUUGAGAAUGGGAGGCUGACUUGCAAACUCAAUGCGAAUGGUCACCUCAAAACACGCAGGGGUGAAAACCACUCACCAAGUGUGCGCGCUCUUUCGAUCAAGGUCCUUGCCAUACAGGAAUCCUCAGGAAGCAAGCAGACGAGCAAUGAUAACGCAGCCUAAUUGUGGCUUUCAAAUGCCGUUGAGCUCCUGAUAAACAUACAGCUGUAUCUGAGUCAUGGACAGAUCUUGCAUCCAGGUGCCAGCACCCUCCUGUCAACACGAAUGGUUUUCCCCUACCAAAUCUUGCAGAUUUGAGGCUUCUCUCAGAUCCUUGACCUUUUCAGACUUGAGGCCCCCUUCCAUAACAUUUGUGAAUUGAGUAGCACGCCAUUUCAAAGACUAAUUUAUAUAUUACAGUGCUUACCUCCUUGCAGUGGGGGCAGGGGAACAGCCAGGCCGGGGGAACCUGAGCCUUCCUUUAUCUGCUUACCUCCUUGUACCUGAAGGUUGAGCCUGCCUUUAUUUGCUUUUCUUCUCUCACCUCCUUAUGCACCCUUCAGAGGAUCUUGUGGCACCCCAAGGUGCCCCAGUACCUUGGUCAAGAAUUCCUGUUAUGGUACCUGCUAGAGUUUAAAAAGCUUGGGUCCAUCUGCAAGCUACCUGAGAGUUCAUCUGGUGUCUUUCAGCAACCAUAUUUUCACAUGUACCACACACCUGCACAUACAAUGCACACUUUGCUUUUGGGAAAGCAAAAUGAGGGGGAAAAAAAUGUUUCUAUAAUUCUGGCUGCAUAGGCAGAGCCUAAUGUUCAGCUCACUCACCCAAAGUUGAAACCCCAGCUACUGCUUAAGACUGGUCUCUAUGGGUGGAGCUACAUUUUGAAAAGAGCAAAAAAAAAUUGAUAAGGCUGUGAAAUAGGAGAAGAGAGACUAGAAGGAGCUAAAAGACAGCAGAAUGGUGAGAAGAAAGAUUGGCUUGAUUAGUGGGAUAUCAAGGCCAUCACACCGGAGAGAUGUAGCUUAAUACCUGAGGAGUGAAGAACAAGCCAUUAGGUCAGUUGCCUUCCUCAGCUGCCUGAAUAGAAAUGCCACUGCUUCUGCAAGCAGGAAUCAAAGUUGGGUGCUUUUAUUCCAAGCCAAAAAUAAAUUUUUGUGUUAAGACAUGCAUCCCAAUUUUGGGGGCGGGAGCUGACUGGGGGUGGGGGUUGGUAUGCAUGGUAUGUGAGUAAAUACAAUGUUCACCCAUGAAUACACAGAUGUAUCUUGGCAGUCAGGUAUUUAAAAAGAUGAGAGGAGGGCAUCUAUUAAUGAAGGCACCUCCUCUGGCUUGGGGACUUUCAUUUGAGUCCCAUAGGAUUCACGGCCCCUCCCUGUGAGCCCAUGCAUAUGUAAUGCCCUUUUCACCUUGGAAUCAAGGUCACACCUUUUUUGGCAUGAUGGAUGGGGCAAAUAGGGCCCUUGAUGGCUGGACUGCUAUAUACAACCUUUCAAGUACUCUUGAAACCCUUCUGCCCCAGAUGCUCCCCUAAAAUGACAUCUCAGUUUUUUUCAUUUGAAUACUCCCGGGUCUGCCAGUACUUUCCCUUCAUCAAGGGAACCGCACUACAGUGUGUAGAUGCAGAAAUCUUGUAUGUGAAACGUAUCCAAGCCUCUCAGGGUGUGCAUCACGAGCAAGGAGAGGGUUAAAAAGCAGCCGGUUUCAACCCAAGGCUUUGCAGUAGGAGCUUUGUCCUAUCUCCAGGUGUGCGGUGCCCUGGAUGCAUCUGGUUGCAUCAUAGAAAGUACUUGCCUGUGCGAUGCAUGCUUAAAGGCUGUUGAAAAUGCACCGGACACGGACAGCGGUUGUAUCAUAAUGUGGUUUUCCAUCUGUACUCUGCUACUAUUUAGGAAUUUGGAGUGGAUACAGACAGCUAGGAGACUUUUGGUACCCACCUCCAGUGAGGAAAGCAGACCCAUGGGGGCUUGAGGAGCUCACCGCUUAUCUUCCCUCUGCUCCUUUCAGAGGGAUCAGUGGUUUCAGGUGACUUAGUCGCUGAGCGGAGAGGAGGGCAGAGCAGUCUCUUUCUGGGACUCGCUUGCUGUCCUCCAGACAGGCGGUCGGAUCGACUUGGUUUGGCUGCUGGGGUUGGGUUUUUUUGGCAGAAAACGUGCUGAAGAGUGAAUCAAGGAAAAGCGCUUGUACACUGUCCUUUACGCAGAAUAGCGCAUGUGGGGGCAGGACAACGGGCUUCGUUCAAAGCUAGAUCUUGCUUCGGUGGAAGUCGGGCUCGUUAAAAAAACAACCCAACGCCCCCCGCCCCCCCCCGCCCUAAAACUGUAUUAGAGAUUAAUUAUCAAAGAUUUGUAACAGCAUCUGUGAUAUCAACACUGGCAUGCAUAUUAAUAAAGA